rnacentral:rRNA from 1 species
UCCAUUCCUUUGGUACCUGGUGCUCGGCCAGUCAAUUUGCGGCCGUACCGACAUAGUCCAGCGCAGAAAGAUGAAGUGGAACGACAAGUGGCUGAUAUGCUGGCUCAAGGCAUCAUCCAACCAAGUACAAGUCCCUUUGCAUCACCUGUUUUGCUAGUGCAGAAGAAAGACCUUACGUGGCGUUUUUGCGUGGAUUACCGUCACCUCAAUGCAGUCACCGUUAAGAAUCGUUACCCUCUCCCAGUCAUUGAUGAGUUGCUGGAUGAACUAGUGGGAUCUUGGCUGUUCACUAGUUUGGAUCUACGAGCUGGCUAUCAUCAGAUCCGGAUGCGACCCGAGGAUGAGCAUAAGACAGCCUUCAAAACGCAUCAUGGACAUUUUGAGUUUAAGGUAAUGCCAUAUGGUGUCACGGGAGGACCAUCGACCUUCCAAGGGGGCAUG